AUUGAACGCUGGCGGCAGGCCUAACACAUGCAAGUCGAGCGAGCGGCGGACGGGUGAGUAAUGUAUGGGAAACUGCCCGAUGGAGGGGGAUAACUACUGGAAACGGUGGCUAAUACCGCAUACCAUCGGAUGUACCCAUAUGGGAUUAGCUAGGAGGUAGGGUAAUGGCUCACCUAGGCCACGAUCCCUAGCUGGUCUGAGAGGAUGACCAGCCACAUUGGGACUGAGACACGGCCCAGACUCCUACGGGAGGCAGCAGUGGGGAAUAUUGCACAAUGGGCGCAAGCCUGAUGCAGCCAUGCCGCGUGUGUGAAGAAGGCCCUCGGGUUGUAAAGUACUUUCAGUCGGGAGGCGUUACCCGCAGAAGAAGCACCGGCUAACUCCGUGCCAGCAGCCGCGGUAAUAC
rnacentral:rRNA from 1 species